rnacentral:lncRNA from 1 species
CCUCUGUUGAACUUGCAGGAGAGCUUUACUAUAACAGUGGCAUCGAUUCUUCCCAUUUGUUUUGAACUGGCAGGCUUGCAGCUCCACAGGUAUGUAUCUCAUUUUCUCUGUUCUUUUAUUUCUCUGCGAAUUUGAAGUGUUAAAGACCUGAACUUUGCUAUGAAUAUUGUUGUGAAUGUUGCUGUGAAUAUUGCUCAAACAUGGAAAAAAAUGUGAUGAGAAAAGCUCUUGACUUGCUAUUCUAUUUUACUGUGAAUUUUGUUUUAC